UCAGACGAUGCGUCAUGCAUAUCAAUAAGCGGAGGAAAAGAAACUAACAAGGAUUCCCCUAGUAACGGCGAGUGAAGCGGGAAGAGCUCAAAUUUGAAAUCUUAAAGGGUUUCCCUUUACGAAUUGUAGUUUAAAGAAGUGUUUUCUGUUGAGGUUUUGGUAAAAGUUCUUUGGAAUAGGACAUCAUAGAGGGUGAGAAUCCCGUAUUUGACCUUUACUUUCAACUUUGUGUUACACUUUCAAAGAGUCGGAUUGUUUGGGAAUGCAGUCCAAAAUGGGUGGUAAAUUUCAUCUAAAGCUAAAUAUUGGCGAUGAGACCGAUAGCGAACAAGUACCGUGAGGGAAAGAUGAAAAGAACUUUGAAAAGAGAGUUAAACAGUACGUGAAAUUGUCAAAAGGGAAGCGUUUGACACCAGUGUUGUUUUUCUGAAAAUCAAUUAAAGAACUGUUUAUGCUAAGCUGUUUAGACUUUAUCAGCUAACUGUUUAGUUUUGAGCUUUUCUUUAAUGCACUUUUCAGUUAACAAGUCAACAUCAAUUUCUUUUGCUGUAAAAAAGCUUGAGGAAGGUGGCUUGAGAUUCGUCUUAAGUGUUUAUAGCCUCUUGCCUAUGCAGUCGGAGAGAUUGAGGUCUGCAGCGUAGAUCCUUCGGGGCUAAAUGCAUUUGUGCUAAGUUAUAGCAUUUUAUAGACAACUUGUUGACUAUGAUUUGUCUUGUAGCUUACUCGCUUAUGUUAUUUUACCUACGCUUAGGAUGUUGAGCGCAUGUCUCUCUCU
rnacentral:rRNA from 1 species